CACACACCAUGCACCACAAGUGAUGGUGAAAAAUUGUGAAAUAUACUGAUGGAUGUAUUGUAUUAUUGGACCCUCCAGAAAGAACUGUCACAGUUGAUGAAGAUGAUGAUGAAGAGACCACAUCUGCUGUGACAGAAGUGGACAAUGCUGGUAGAUCCACUGAGUACAUACCUAGGGAUUUGCCCACAGAUGAGGGUCCUUCAACCUCAGCACACAAUCUAAGCAGGUUGCCAGCAAAGGAGCUGUAUAAGGUCCAUCUUUAAAAACAAAUAAGAAAAAGUGACAUGGAGAUGGACCUUAUACCGCUUCAAAUGGAAGAGAAAAGACUCCUCAUUAAAAAAGCAGCACUGGAAAUUGAAUUACUGGAGCAUCGCCUUAAGGAAAUAAAGAAAUAAACUGCCUGGCAGACCAGUGAAAAAAAUUAAUAAAAGUGAUUUUGACAGACCCUGUCUCUCAAAAGUCUUCUGUCUCUGUUGGCCUCUAAAAUCUGUAGGUGUUCCUCUGGGCCAUCUUCCU